GUGCACUGCAUACUGUUGUUGUAAUGGGUCAGCGACUGUGAUCCUGUAGCAAGGUCAACCGACUAGGGGAGCCGAAGGGAAACCGAGUCUUAACUGGGCGUUAAGUUGCAGGGUAUAGACCCGAAACCCGGUGAUCUAGCCAUGGGCAGGUUGAAGGUUGGGUAACACUAACUGGAGGACCGAACCGACUAAUGUUGAAAAAUUAGCGGAUGACUUGUGGCUGGGGGUGAAAGGCCAAUCAAACCGGGAGAUAGCUGGUUCUCCCCGAAAGCUAUUUAGGUAGCGCCUCGUGAAUUCAUCUCCGGGGGUAGAGCACUGUUUCGGCAAGGGGGUCAUCCCGACUUACCAACCCGAUGCAAACUGCGAAUACCGGAGAAUGUUAUCACGGGAGACACACGGCGGGUGCUAACGUCCGUCGUGAAGAGGGAAACAACCCAGACCGCCAGCUAAGGUCCCAAAGUCAUGGUUAAGUGGGAAACGAUGUGGGAAGGCCCAGACAGCCAGGAUGUUGGCUUAGAAGCAGCCAUCAUUUAAAGAAAGCGUAAUAGCUCACUGGUCGAGUCGGCCUGCGCGGAAGAUGUAACGGGGCUAAACCAUGCACCGAAGCUGCGGCAGCGACACUAUGUGUUGUUGGGUAGGGGAGCGUUCUGUAAGCCUGUGAAGGUGGCCUGUGAGGGUUGCUGGAGGUAUCAGAAGUGCGAAUGCUGACAUAAGUAACGAUAAAGCGGGUGAAAAGCCCGCUCGCCGGAAGACCAAGGGUUCCUGUCCAACGUUAAUCGGGGCAGGGUGAGUCGACCCCUAAGGCGAGGCCGAAAGGCGUAGUCGAUGGGAAACAGGUUAAUAUUCCUGUACUUGGUGUUACUGCGAAGGGGGGACGGAGAAGGCUAUGUUGGCCGGGCGACGGUUGUCCCGGUUUAAGCGUGUAGGCUGGUUUUCCAGGCAAAUCCGGAAAACCAAGGCUGAGGCGUGAUGACGAGGCACUACGGUGCUGAAGCGACAAAUGCCCUGCUUCCAGGAAAAGCCUCUAAGCAUCAGGUAACAUCAAAUCGUACCCCAAACCGACACAGGUGGUCAGGUAGAGAAUACCAAGGCGCUUGAGAGAACUCGGGUGAAGGAACUAGGCAAAAUGGUGCCGUAACUUCGGGAGAAGGCACGCUGAUAUGUAGGUGAAGCGACUUGCUCGUGGAGCUGAAAUCAGUCGAAGAUACCAGCUGGCUGCAACUGUUUAUUAAAAACACAGCACUGUGCAAACACGAAAGUGGACGUAUACGGUGUGACGCCUGCCCGGUGCCGGAAGGUUAAUUGAUGGGGUUAGCGGUAACGCGAAGCUCUUGAUCGAAGCCCCGGUAAACGGCGGCCGUAACUAUAACGGUCCUAAGGUAGCGAAAUUCCUUGUCGGGUAAGUUCCGACCUGCACGAAUGGCGUAAUGAUGGCCAGGCUGUCUCCACCCGAGACUCAGUGAAAUUGAACUCGCUGUGAAGAUGCAGUGUACCCGCGGCAAGACGGAAAGACCCCGUGAACCUUUACUAUAGCUUGACACUGAACAUUGAGCCUUGAUGUGUAGGAUAGGUGGGAGGCUUUGAAGUGUGGACGCCAGUCUGCAUGGAGCCGACCUUGAAAUACCACCCUUUAAUGUUUGAUGUUCUAACGUUGGCCCGUAAUCCGGGUUGCGGACAGUGUCUGGUGGGUAGUUUGACUGGGGCGGUCUCCUCCUAAAGAGUAACGGAGGAGCACGAAGGUUGGCUAAUCCUGGUCGGACAUCAGGAGGUUAGUGCAAUGGCAUAAGCCAGCUUGACUGCGAGCGUGACGGCGCGAGCAGGUGCGAAAGCAGGUCAUAGUGAUCCGGUGGUUCUGAAUGGAAGGGCCAUCGCUCAACGGAUAAAAGGUACUCCGGGGAUAACAGGCUGAUACCGCCCAAGAGUUCAUAUCGACGGCGGUGUUUGGCACCUCGAUGUCGGCUCAUCACAUCCUGGGGCUGAAGUAGGUCCCAAGGGUAUGGCUGUUCGCCAUUUAAAGUGGUACGCGAGCUGGGUUUAGAACGUCGUGAGACAGUUCGGUCCCUAUCUGCCGUGGGCGCUGGAGAACUGAGGGGGGCUGCUCCUAGUACGAGAGGACCGGAGUGGACGCAUCACUGGUGUUCGGGUUGUCAUGCCAAUGGCACUGCCCGGUAGCUAAAUGCGGAAGAGAUAAGUGCUGAAAGCAUCUAAGCACGAAACUUGCCCCGAGAUGAGUUCUCCCUGACUCCUUGAGAGUCCUGAAGGAACGUUGAAGACGACGACGUUGAUAGGCCGGGUGUGUAAGCGCAGCGAUGCGUUGAGCUAACCGGUACUAAUGAACCGUGAGGCUUAACCUU
rnacentral:rRNA from 1 species